rnacentral:rRNA from 1 species
UACGGGGGGGGCAAGCGUUGUUCGGAAUCACUGGGCGUAAAGCGCACGUAGGCGGAUCCUUAAGUCGGGGGUGAAAUCCUGGAGCUCAACUCCAGAACUGCCUUCGAUACUGAGGAUCUCGAGUCCGGGAGAGGUGAGUGGAACUGCGAGUGUAGAGGUGAAAUUCGUAGAUAUUCGCAAGAACACCAGUGGCGAAGGCGGCUCACUGGCCCGGUACUGACGCUGAGGUGCGAAAGCGUGGGGAGCAAACAGG